rnacentral:rRNA from 1 species
AAGACUGACGAUCUGUAGCUGGUCUGAGAGGAUGAUCAGCCACACUGGGACUGAGACACGGCCCACGACUCCUACGGGAGGGCAGCAGUGGGGAAGUAUUGGACAAUGGGCGAAAGCCUGAUCCAGCAAUACCGAGUGAGUGAUGAAGGCCUUAGGGUUGUAAAGCUCUUUUAGUCAGGGAAGAUAAUGACGUUACCUGCAGAAAAAGCCCCGGCUAACUCCGUGCCAG